rnacentral:lncRNA from 1 species
CCGCAACGAACGAAGCUUUGGAUCCUGAAACGGAAGCGUUCGAAAAAAUGCUCCGUUUGUAACCCUGCCUGUGAACUCUUGACUCGCUCGGCGAUGACGUACUCUCGCCUGAAAGGCGGGCGGAUGGAUGGCGGGCAUGGCAACCGCAAAUAUACUGGGAAGUUAAUAAAGCGCUUAGGAUGCAAAUAUACAUUGAACCGCACUUUGCUCCGAUAGACGGAAAUAACAGCAACCAAGACGCAGCUAAUUUACUUGGAAAACCCGCGGUUCGAUUCCGGCCUUGGGAUGCCGCGGCGUCGCGCGGAGUCGGCCCCAUAGAACGAUGAAUCACUGUCAGCCUCCGAAACACAGGUGCCGUGCUAGCCAUACAUGCCAAUGUCUGCUCCCAGGCGGAUGCAUUGGCCGAACCCCGUCCGACUCCCCACCUUCCCUGCUUCUGCAGGAGCAUUAGCACACAAUACUCCUGCUAAAACACAGACCCGUCGAGAACCCGAGAGUCAACCACAAGCAUCACGGCAUCGUCGAGCGCCAGCAGCACAGUAAGCAGUGUUAAGCAUACGAAACCCUGAGUAGAUGUAAGCAUACAAACGAACUUGAGGCGCUUCCACUCGUAUGUACGCCGCAAAAAGCUUGAACAGCCACAAGUGCGCACAGGCUUAUGACUGCAGCAUAAUGCAAGAAGCGUAAGGACCAAGUGGAAUACAGGAUAACCGCCCGAGAUGUGUGGAUGGGUGCGGCGGCUGAUAAAUCGCUAUGCUUACCACUGCUGCCGCCUUGCCCAUGCACAUCGACCUGGCGAGGACGGGUUCUGACGAUGAUAAAGCAUUUUUGGGAAUGCCAAGCUGCGCAGCCAGCAGGGCGCUAUAGGGGCACAUUGCAUGUUUACCAGUGUGGAAGACUGAGCGGGCGAUUCUGCGAUACACAUCCACCCCUUGCUGGGGGGUUUGAAGCUCAAGCUGGUCG